rnacentral:rRNA from 1 species
AUUGAACGCUGGCGGCAUGCUUUACACAUGCAAGUCGAGCGGCAGCGCGGGGGCAACCCUGGCGGCGAGCGGCGAACGGGUGAGGAAUACAUCGGAACGUACCCCGGAGUGGGGGAUAACGCCGCGAAAGCGGCGCUAAUACCGCAUAUGCUCUGAGGAGGAAAGUGGGGGACCUGCAAGGGCCUCACGCUCUGGGAGCGGCCGAUGUCCGAUUAGCUAGUUGGUGGGGUAAAGGCCCACCAAGGCGACGAUCGGUAGCUGGUCUGAGAGGAUGAUCAGCCACACUGGGACUGAGACACGGCCCAGACUCCUACGGGAGGCAGCAGUGGGGAAUUUUGGACAAUGGGGGCAACCCUGAUCCAGCCAUGCCGCGUGAGUGAAGAAGGCCUC